GUAUGUGGCGCGGGGAGCAUUUCACUGCAACCAGUUGCAGUUGUGUCAAUAAUGCACACAAGUCUUCGGUUCAGUGUAAAGGUGAGCGAGUGCCAGUUCCACCAAGGGGACUUCCAGCCAUUCAGCAGAAAAUGAUAAAUAUUUUAACUUGAGAGUAGAUAAAUAAUACACACAUUGUGUAGUAGAUUCAUUGCCUGAAGGGACGCUGGUUUGUUCAAGUGACUUAUUCAAUGCUGGGUGGGAAUUUUUCCUAUGGUGAAAGACAGGGACUAUUGUGAA